AGCAUACCAAAUGGCAAAUGUCAGCUCUCCAUAGUUUCUCUGUGAUUAAAGUUGCAUGCAGGCACACACGCACACAUAGGCCAUUUGGCUGUUAAUAUAU